rnacentral:rRNA from 1 species
CACCGGGCUAACUCCGUGCCAGCAGUUUUAGAGUUUGGAACCUGGCUCAGAUUGAACGCUGGCGGCAGGCUUAACACAUGCAAGUCGAGCGGUAGCACAAGGGAGCUUGCUCCCUGGGUGACGAGCGGCGGACGGGUGAGUAAUGUCUGGGAAACUGCCUGAUGGAGGGGGAUAACUACUGGAAACGGUAGCUAAUACCGCAUAACGUCGCAAGACCAAAGAGGGGGACCUUCGGGCCUCUUGCCAUCAGAUGUGCCCAGAUGGGAUUAGCUAGUAGGUGGGGUAAUGGCUCACCUAGGCGACGAUCCCUAGCUGGUCUGAGAGGAUGACCAGCCACACUGGAACUGAGACACGGUCCAGACUCCUACGGGAGUACGGCAGCAGUGGGGAAUAUUGCACGAAUGGGCGCAAGCCUGAUGCAGCCAUGCCGCGUGUGUGAAGAAGGCCUUCGGGUUGUAAAGCACUUUCAGCGAGGAGGACAGGUGGUGAACUUAAUACGUUCAUCAAUUGACGUUACUCGCAGAACUGAAGCACCGGCUAACUCCGUGCCAGCAGCCCGUGCGGUAAUACGGAGGGUGCAAUCCCGCGUUAAUCGGAAUUACUGGGCGUAAAGCGCACGCAGGCGGUUUGUUAAGUCAGAUGUGAAAUCCCCGGGCUCAACCUGGGAACUGCAUUUGAAACUGGCAAGCUAGAGUCUCGUAGAGGGGGGUAGAAUUCCAGGUGUAGCGGUGAAAUGCGUAGAGAUCUGGAGGAAUACCGGUGGCGAAGGCGGCCCCCUGGACGAAGACUGACGCUCAGGUGCGAAAGCGUGGGGAGCAAACAGGAUUAGAUACCCUGGUAGUCCACGUUGUAAACGAUGUCGAUUUGGAGGUUGUGCCCUACACACCGCCCGUCACACCAUGGGAGUGGGUUGCAAAAGAAGUAGGUAGCUUAACCUUCGGGAGGGCGCUUACCACUUGGAUCCAUCCCC